AGGAAGAGAGUUGGAUGACAGCCUGUGAGGAGAUGCUCCGGCGGCCGCUCGUGUGCUCGCUGGGUGUGGACCCGGUACCUCUCUGUGAAGUGGCAGCUGAGGAGACUCUGGGACUCACCGUGGCCAACAAAGAGCCCAGGGAUUUUUCAUCUUCCAGAUUGAUUUCAGCGGCUGAAAACAGCACUAUGCUCAUUUCUCAUACAGAAUCAGAAACCUGCUGAUGUCUGAAGCAAGUUGGGUUGCUGCUACUUGGAAAGGGUUUGUCAAUGAGGCAACUCAGAUUCCAAUUCCCUGAGCCAGUGAAACAGACACACCGCACAGUGGGAGGAGGAUGCAGAGACGGUGGAUGUGUUCCAGCAGCAGACGGGAGGUGUCCCCUGAGAAGGGAAACCUCUACUUUUGUCCUGCAGAACUCUGCUCCUCCGGACCAAGAUGACAUUCUCAGGUCCUGUCUCAAGCCUGACAUCACACACUCCUGAAUGGACUACCACCUGGACCCAGUGAACUCAAGCUGGGCGCACACUGGAGAGGGGGUUCUGAGAGCUCACGCCCAGGGACCGUACGUUGUGCUGUGGAGAACUACAGUUCUUGUUCUUGGUGCCAGGACAAAGCCCCGUGCUGGAUGUCUGGGAAAUGGCGUAGGUCUGCUGAAGCCAACGGACAGGCUGUCUACCAUUCAAGGAACUCUUAAUGUUAACACCACCUAAAUCGUAAGUGGCCAAAUGUGAUUACCUUUUCGGUCAGUUCUACCAGGCUGUCACUCUGCACUGGAUCUGGGCAACAGAAGAGGAGCAGAUAGAUAGGAAGAAGAAAGGACACGAAGGAUUACGAAUCAGCUCCUCUAUGCUGGACACAAAUCAUGGUACAUCCUUAACCCUAAGAACUAGGAAUAAUGACAUCCAUUUUAGGGUCAUGCAAAAUGAAAACCGGGGUGGGCAGGGAAGGGCUGUCCAAGGAAGACAAAUAAAAAUGUGCACAGUUGGGUCUUAAGACUCCAAACCCGUUCUUC